rnacentral:rRNA from 1 species
UACAGAGGUGGCAAGCGUUGUUCGGAAUUACUGGGCGUAAAGGGCGCGUAGGCGGUCUUUUAAGUCUUGUGUGAAAUCCCUCGGCUCAACUGAGGAACUGCACGGGAUACUGGAAGACUUGAGUUCGGGAGAGGGAAGCGGAAUUCUGGUGUAGCGGUGAAAUGCGUAGAUAUCCGGAGGAACACCGGUGGCGAAGGCGGCUUCCUGGACCGAUUACUGACGCUGAGGCGCGAAAGCUAGGGGAGCAAACGGG